rnacentral:rRNA from 1 species
GAACGCUGGCGGCAGGCCUAACACAUGCAAGUCGAACGCUCCGCAAGGGGAGUGGCAGACGGGUGAGUAACACGUGGGAAUCUUCCUGUUGGUACGGAAUAGCUCAGGGAAACUUGGGGUAAUACCGUAUAAGCCCGUGAGGGGAAAGAUUUAUCGCCGACAGAUGAGCCCGCGUCUGAUUAGCUAGUUGGUGAGGUAAUGGCUCACCAAGGCGACGA